rnacentral:rRNA from 1 species
GAUGAACGCUAGCUACAGGCUUAACACAUGCAAGUCGAGGGGUCUUGACGGAGCUUGCUCUUGAUAGACGACCGGCGCACGGGUGAGUAACGCGUAUCCAACCUGCCCUUCAUAUUGGGAUAGCCUUCCGAAAGGGAGAUUAAUACCGAAUAACAUAUCAAGAUUGCAUGAUAUUGAUAUGAAAGAUCCGUCAAUGAAGGAUGGGGAUGCGUUUCAUUAGGUAGUGGGCGGGGUAACGGCCCACCUAGCCAACGAUGAAUAGGGGUUCUGAGAGGAAGGUCCCCCACACUGGAACUGAGACACGGUCCAGAUUGCUACGGGAGGCAGCAGUGAGGAAUAUUGGUCAAUGGGCGCAAGCCUGAACCAGCCAGGUAGCGUGAAGGAUGACUGCCCUAUGGGUUGUAAACUUCUUUUUUACGGGAACAAAUGUUGCUACGUGUAGCAAUUUGCGUGUACCGUACGAAUAAGCAUCGGCUAACUCCGUGCCAGCCGCCGCAGUAACAC